CCAGAACAACACAUAAUCUGAAAGGAGGGGCCAAAAAAGUAGGGGUGACAAAAACUCAGCUCCAGGUACAGUUUAUCCAGUAGUAGUACAGUACAAUACAAGAUUAAAAUGGCGCCAUAUCUUUAUACAUAAAAGAACUAAACACGCUAAAGAAAACAAACCGACGUUUUCUCAUGACGCUAUCUAGCAGUUUCUGUAAUCCACCCAGCCUCCUACAGUUAUUAACACCUGAAAAGGCCUCCAGUCUCAUCCUACACUUGCCGAGUUGAGAUUUUACGACAUCUUCAUCCAACCACCAGCCUUUCUACUUGACAGAAAAAUUCUACGUUAUGCUAGGAAGGUGUUGAAGGUACCAAUCCAAUCCAGGUUGAAAAUGAAUACACCACUGUACCCUUAAACAAUCUGGACGUAAUCUGGUGUGUCAGACCUUGGACCGGCAAUUGUCCGGUACACAUACAAUGUCUCGACUGGGCUAUCAUCCGGAAGUGACUCCACAGGGCAUGUUCGUCCAGGAUCGUUCAUUAUCUCCACGGUAAGGCGGGGCAUCUUCUCUGCAAGCUGUCGGCAUGCGCCCAGGGUCAAUGAGCACGACGACAUCCAAAGGGAUCGCAUUGUCUCCAGCUUGGCAGCAUUUGCCAGCAACGGCUUAUUUCCAAAUGGGCA
rnacentral:lncRNA from 1 species